rnacentral:lncRNA from 1 species
ACUAGGUGACCUUCUGGACACCAGCUCUGAUGUCAGUUAUGUGUAAAGCCAGGCAGAUGGGUCCAGAUAGUCCUGGAGAUUUCCACCUACUGAAAUGUUUCCAUACUUAAUUUCUACUCAGAGAACCUGAAGUCACUUCUAACAGUAUCUCUCAAGACCGAUACAGUUGAGCUCCAUCUGCCCUUCUAACAUCGGCGGCCUGGCAACAGUGUCUUGCUAAGCUGGGAAACAUGGUAUGGUGAGAAGGUCUCUAACUUCGGUCAAGACUCAGUUCUGCCACUCUCCACAAUGACUCUGGGCAAGCUAUAAUUCCACAGGUGCUUCAGAGCACUAUCCCAGCAUGGCCUUGUCCUGGACUGCAUGGGGUUCAUUCUUCAUCCUCAAUGGUCAGGAGCCACUUCCAACAGGUGCCCAGGGAGGACAAAGGAUCCAGUUUUUAUUGAAGCAGGUCUGCCCAGCCUCUGCCUGCCUGCAGGAACUUAGAGACACACUAGCACUCUAUGGACGAGCAAAGACCAAAGUCAGGAGCAGAUCUUCAUCAAAUGGUGAGGAUUCCAUCUCAUCAGCCAGAGCAGUCAUCAACGAAGCCAAGGACAGCUCUCACAAGUUGUCCUUGAACCUCCACACACG